rnacentral:rRNA from 1 species
GACAGAGGUGCCGAGCGUUAGGCGGAAUCACUGGGCUUAAAGCGUGUGUAGGCGGACUUCUAAGUACCUUGUGAAAUCCCCUCGGCUCAACCGGGGAACUGCGUCCGAUACUGGUGGGCUCGAAUCCGGGAGAGGGAUGUGGAAUUCCAGGUGUAGCGGUGAAAUGCGUAGAUAUCUGGAGGAACACCGGUGGCGAAGGCGGCAUCCUGGACCGGUAUUGACGCUGAUGCGCGAAAAGCCAGGGGAGCAAACGGG